rnacentral:rRNA from 1 species
ACUCAAAUGAAUUGACGGGGGCCCGCACAAGCGGUGGAGUAUGUGGUUUAAUUCGAAGCAACGCGCAGAACCUUACCUACCCUUAACAUCCCAGGAAGUAUGCAGAGAUGUAUAUGUCCUUUCGGGGACCUGGUGAUAGGUGCUGCAUGGCUGUCGUCAGCUCGUGUCGUAAGAUGUCUGGUUAAGUCCAAUAACGAGCGCAACCCCUGUCCUUAGUUACCAGCAUUAAGUUGGGGACUCUAGGGAGACUGCCGGUGUUAAACCGGAGGAAGGCGGGGAUGACGUCAAGUCCUCAUGGCCCUUACGGGUAGGGCUACACACGUACUACAAUGGCAGAAACAAACCGUCGCGAAGCCGUGAGGUGGAGCUAAUCGGUAAAACACUGUCUCAGUCCGGAUUGGAGUCUGCAACUCGACUCCAUGAAGUUGGAAUCGCUAGUAAUCGCUGAUCAGCAAGCAGCGGUGAAUACGUUCCCGGGCCUUGCACACACCGCCCGU